GAUGAAGAACGUAGUGAAAUGCGAUAAGUAAUGUGAAUUGCAGAAUUCAGUGAAUCAUCGAAUCUUUGAACGCACAUUGCGCCCUUUGGUAUUCCUUAGGGCAUGCCUGUUCGAGCGUCAUUUAAACCUUCAAGCUCAGCUUGGUGUUGGGUGACUGUCCGCUGCCCUCGGGUGCGGACUCGCCUCAAAAUCAUUGGCGGCCGGUACAUUGGCUUCGAGCGCAGCAGAAACGCGAACUCGAGGACGUUGUAUUGGCUCCCAGAAGCUAUCUUCAUAAUUUUGACCUCGGAUCAGGUAGGGAUACCCGCUGAACUUAAGCAUAUCAAUAAGCGGAGGA
rnacentral:misc_RNA from 1 species